AUUGAACGCUGGCGGCAUGCCUUACACAUGCAAGUCGAACGGCAGCACGGGAGCAAUCCUGGUGGCGAGUGGCGAACGGGUGAGUAAUACAUCGGAACGUGCCCAGUAAUGGGGGACAACUAGUUGAAAGAUUAGCUAAUACCGCAUACGACCUACGGGUGAAAGCAGGGGAUCGCAAGACCUUGCGUUAUUGGAGCGGCCGAUGUCAGAUUAGCUUGUUGGUGAGGUAAAAGCUCACCAAGGCGACGAUCUGUAGCUGGUCUGAGAGGACGACCAGCCACACUGGAACUGAGACACGGUCCAGACUCCUACGGGAGGCAGCAGUGGGGAAUUUUGGACAAUGGGCGAAAGCCUGAUCCAGCCAUGCCGCGUGUGGGAAGAAGGCCUUCGGGUUGUUAACCGACUUUAGUCGGUACGAAACGGUACGUGUGAUAACACCAUGGCUAAUGACGGUACCGAAGAACUAAGACACCGGCUAACUACGUAGCCAGCAGCCGCGGU
rnacentral:rRNA from 1 species